GAUGAACGCUAGCGGGAGGCUUAACACAUGCAAGUCGAGGGGCAGCAUAGGGUAGCAAUACUCUGAUGGCGACCGGCAAACGGGUGAGUAACGCGUAUGUAACCUACCCUGUACAGGGGGAUAACCCGGAGAAAUUCGGACUAAUAUCCCAUAACAAUAUCCGGGGGCAUCUUUGGAUAUUUAAAGUUCCGGCGGUACGGGAUGGGCAUGCGUAACAUUAGCUAGUUGGUAAGGUAACGGCUUACCAAGGCUUUGAUGUUUAGGGGUCCUGAGAGGGUGGUCCCCCACACUGGUACUGAGACACGGACCAGACUCCUACGGGAGGCAGCAGUGAGGAAUAUUGGUCAAUGGGCGCAAGCCUGAACCAGCCAUCCCGCGUGCAGGAAGACGGCGCUAUGCGUUGUAAACUGCUUUUCCAGGGAGAGAAACUUGCGCACGUGUUGCGCAAUUGACGGUACCCUGGGAAUAAGCAUCGGCUAACUCCGUGCCAGCAGCCGCGGUAAUCUGUAGUCGUC
rnacentral:rRNA from 1 species